rnacentral:rRNA from 1 species
CCUACGGGGGGCAGCAGUGAGGAAUAUUGGUCAAUGGGCGGAAGCCUGAACCAGCCAAGUCGCGUGAGGGAAUAAGGUCCUGCGGGUCGUAAACCUCUUUUGCCGGGGAGCAGGGGUGUGGAAGUGACUGGGCAGGGUGAGUACCCGGAGAACAAGCAUCGGCUAACUCCGUGCCAGCAGCCGCGGUAAUACGGAGGAUGCGAGCGUUAUCCGGAUUUAUUGGGUUUAAAGGGUGCGUAGGCGGAUUGAUAAGUUAGAGGUGUAAUUCCGGGGCUCAACCUCGGUGCUACCGCCAAAACUAGGAGACUCGAGUGCAGGAGAGGUAAGUGGAAUGCCUAGUGUAGCGGUGGAAUGCGUAGAUAUUAGGAAGAACAUCAGUGGCGAAGGCGACUUACUGGACUGUAACUGACGCUGAGGCACGAAAGCGUGGGGAGCAAACAGGAUUAGAUACCCGUGUAGUC